rnacentral:rRNA from 1 species
AUACUCCUGACUGACCGAUAGUGAACCAGUACCGUGAGGGAAAGGCGAAAAGAACCCCGGCGAGGGGAGUGAAAAAGAACCUGAAACCGUGUACGUACAAGCAGUGGGAGCACAGAGCAAUCUGUGUGACUGCGUACCUUUUGUAUAAUGGGUCAGCGACUUAUAUUCUGUAGCAAGGUUAACCGAAUAGGGGAGCCGAAGGGAAACCGAGUCUUAACUGGGCGUUAAGUUGCAGGGUAUAGACCCGAAACCCGGUGAUCUAGCCAUGGGCAGGUUGAAGGUUGGGUAACACUAACUGGAGGACCGAACCGACUAAUGUUGAAAAAUUAGCGGAUGACUUGUGGCUGGGGGUGAAAGGCCAAUCAAACCGGGAGAUAGCUGGUUCUCCCCGAAAGCUAUUUAGGUAGCGCCUCGUGAAUUCAUCUCCGGGGGUAGAGCACUGUUUCGGCAAGGGGGUCAUCCCGACUUACCAACCCGAUGCAAACUGCGAAUACCGGAGAAUGUUAUCACGGGAGACACACGGCGGGUGCUAACGUCCGUCGUGAAGAGGGAAACAACCCAGACCGCCAGCUAAGGUCCCAAAGUCAUGGUUAAGUGGGAAACGAUGUGGGAAGGCCCAGACAGCCAGGAUGUUGGCUUAGAAGCAGCCAUCAUUUAAAGAAAGCGUAAUAGCUCACUGGUCGAGUCGGCCUGCGCGGAAGAUGUAACGGGGCUAAACCAUGCACCGAAGCUGCGGCAGCGACGCUUAUGCGUUGUUGGGUAGGGGAGCGUUCUGUAAGCCUGUGAAGGUGUACUGUGAGGUAUGCUGGAGGUAUCAGAAGUGCGAAUGCUGACAUAAGUAACGAUAAAGCGGGUGAAAAGCCCGCUCGCCGGAAGACCAAGGGUUCCUGUCCAACGUUAAUCGGGGCAGGGUGAGUCGACCCCUAAGGCGAGGCCGAAAGGCGUAGUCGAUGGGAAACAGGUUAAUAUUCCUGUACUUGGUGUUACUGCGAAGGGGGGACGGAGAAGGCUAUGUUGGCCGGGCGACGGUUGUCCCGGUUUAAGCGUGUAGGCUGGUUUUCCAGGCAAAUCCGGAAAAUCAAGGCUGAGGCGUGAUGACGAGGCACUACGGUGCUGAAGCAACAAAUGCCCUGCUUCCAGGAAAAGCCUCUAAGCAUCAGGUAACAUCAAAUCGUACCCCAAACCGACACAGGUGGUCAGGUAGAGAAUACCAAGGCGCUUGAGAGAACUCGGGUGAAGGAACUAGGCAAAAUGGUGCCGUAACUUCGGGAGAAGGCACGCUGAUAUGUAGGUGAAGUCCCUCGCGGAUGGAGCUGAAAUCAGUCGAAGAUACCAGCUGGCUGCAACUGUUUAUUAAAAACACAGCACUGUGCAAACACGAAAGUGGACGUAUACGGUGUGACGCCUGCCCGGUGCCGGAAGGUUAAUUGAUGGGGUCAGCGCAAGCGAAGCUCUUGAUCGAAGCCCCGGUAAACGGCGGCCGUAACUAUAACGGUCCUAAGGUAGCGAAAUUCCUUGUCGGGUAAGUUCCGACCUGCACGAAUGGCGUAAUGAUGGCCAGGCUGUCUCCACCCGAGACUCAGUGAAAUUGAACUCGCUGUGAAGAUGCAGUGUACCCGCGGCAAGACGGAAAGACCCCGUGAACCUUUACUAUAGCUUGACACUGAACAUUGAGCCUUGAUGUGUAGGAUAGGUGGGAGGCUUUGAAGUGUGGACGCCAGUCUGCAUGGAGCCGACCUUGAAAUACCACCCUUUAA